rnacentral:rRNA from 1 species
GACGAACGCUGGCGGCGCGCCUAACACAUGCCAGUCGAACGGAAAGGCCUGCUUUCCCUUGUGGAUUGCGGGUACUCGAGUGGCGAACGGGUGAGUAACACGUGAGUGAUCUGCCCCCAACUUGGGUAUAAGCCUGGGAAACUGGGUCUAAUUCCCGAUAGGACUGCAGGGUGGUGCCUGUGGUGGAAAACGAUUUUCUAGUGGUUGGGGAUGAGCUCGCGGCCUAUCAGCUUGUUGGUGGGGUAAUGGCCUACCAAGGCGGCGACGGGUAGCCGGCCUGGGAGGGUGGACGGCCACAUUGGGACUGAGAUACGGCCCAGACUCCUACGGGAGGCAGCAGUGGGGAAUAUUGCACAAUGGGCGGAAGCCUGAUGCAGCGACGCCGCGUGGGGGAUGACGGCCUUCGGGUUGUAAACUCCUUUCGACCGCGAGGAAGCCGCCUGGUUGGAAGGGUGGUGACGGUAGUGGUAGAAGAAGCACCGGCUAACUACGUG